UAGCUUAGUUGGUAGAGUGCUUGUUUUGCAUGCACAAGGUCCUGGGUUCAAUUCCCAG
rnacentral:tRNA from 1 species